rnacentral:rRNA from 1 species
AGCGAACGCUGGCGGCAGGCCUAACACAUGCAAGUCGAACGGACCCUUCGGGGUUAGUGGCGGACGGGUGAGUAACACGUGGGAACGUGCCUUUAGGUUCGGAAUAGCUCCUGGAAACGGGUGGUAAUGCCGAAUGUGCCCUUCGGGGGAAAGAUUUAUCGCCUUUAGAGCGGCCCGCGUCAGAUUAGCUAGUUGGUGGUGUGACGGACCACCAAGGCGACGAUCAGUAGCUGGUCUGAGAGGAUGAUCAGCCACAUUGGGACUGAGACACGGCCCAAACUCCUACGGGAGGCAGCAGUGGGGAAUCUUGCGCAAUGGGCGAAAGCCUGACGCAGCCAUGCCGCGUGAAUGAUGAAGGUCUUAGGAUUGUAAAAUUCUUUCACCGGGGACGAUAAUGACGGUACCCGGAGAAGAAGCCCCGGCUAACUUCGUGCCAGCCGCCGCGGUAAAAC